rnacentral:misc_RNA from 1 species
GGAUUGCAUGCCAUCAUGUCCCAGAUCACAGUAUCACAGAGGGUAUGGCAAAUUAGGCGAAAAACUAUUUGCUAAACAUGUCAUUCCUCGUCAAUCUUACAAAAGUGGUCAUUGCAGACAAACAAAAAGUUUGAGACACUGAAAACUGAUAGCCUAGAAACUAACUGAAGUUUAUUGUCCAUGUUAAGAAAUAAUUCAAAUUCUUAAUAGAUUUGUUACCAUUUAAAUGCAGAAAAGAAAAUGAGCACCAAAACAUAAUUUAAA